rnacentral:rRNA from 1 species
AGAGUUUGAUCCUGGCUCAGAGCGAACGCUGGCGGCGUGCCUAACACAUGCAAGUCGAACGUGAACGGGAGCAAUCCCUAGUAAAGUGGCGUACGGGUGAGUAACACGUAGGUAAUCUACCGAAGAGUCUGGAAUAACCUGCCGAAAGGCGGGCUAAUACUAGAUAGAGCGACGGAAUCCGUAAUUGGGUUUUUCGGGAA